GUGGCGAUGCUGUAUGUAAGAUAUGGCUAGAAUUGUCAGGUGCAUUGCUAGGCACUUUGAAGCCGCAAUCCUUCCUUCGCACAGAGCCGGUCGAAGAAGCGUGGGCAAAGGCUGUGUCAGCAGCCUUGCAGGCAUCCCCAGGCUCCUGGAUCAAUUUGGUGCCAGAUGUGGCCCAGGUUGCAGCAGGAGUUUUUGAAAGGUCUCCAGGAUGCACAUUAUCACUCCUAAGGGCACUAUCUUCCAUGGGGCAUCGAGAGG
rnacentral:rRNA from 14 species